ACGCCGCGUGAGUGAUGAAGGCUUUCGGGUCGUAAAACUCUGUUGUUAGGGAAGAACAAGUGCUAGUUGAAUAAGCUGGCACCUUGACGGUACCUAACCAGAAAGCCACGGCUAACUACGUGCCAGCAGCCGCGGUAAUACGUAGGUGGCAAGCGUUAUCCGGAAUUAUUGGGCGUAAAGCGCGCGCAGGUGGUUUCUUAAGUCUGAUGUGAAAGCCCACGGCUCAACCGUGGAGGGUCAUUGGAAACUGGGAGACUUGAGUGCAGAAGAGGAAAGUGGAAUUCCAUGUGUAGCGGUGAAAUGCGUAGAGAUAUGGAGGAACACCAGUGGCGAAGGCGACUUUCUGGUCUGUAACUGACACUGAGGCGCGAAAGCGUGGGGAGCAAA
rnacentral:rRNA from 2 species